UGGCGGAGGACGAACGCUGGCGGCGUGCCUAACACAUGCAAGUCGAACGGGCCGAAGGAGCUUGCUCCUUCGGUUAGUGGCGAACGGGUGAGUAACGCGUGAGCAACCUGCCUUUCAGAGGGGGACAACGGUUGGAAACGACCGCUAAUACCGCAUGAUGCAAUUGGAUCGCAUGGUCUGAUUGCCAAAGAUUUUAUCGCUGAAAGAUGGGCUCGCGUCUGAUUAGAUAGUUGGUGGGGUAACGGCCCACCAAGUCGACGAUCAGUAGCCGGACUGAGAGGUUGAACGGCCACAUUGGGACUGAGAUACGGCCCAGACUCCUACGGGAGGCAGCAGUGGGGAAUAUUGGGCAAUGGGGGAAACCAACCCUGACCCAGCAACGCCGCGUGAAGGAAGAAGGCUUUCGGGUUGUAAACUUCUUUUACCAGGGACGAAGGACGUGACGGUACCUGGAGAAAAAGCCACGGCUAACUACGUGCCAGCAGCCGCGGUAAUACGUAGGUGGCAAGCGUUGUCCGGAAUUACUGGGUGUAAAGGGCGUGUAGGCGGAGCGGCAAGUCAGAAGUGAAAACUCCGGGCUUAACCCGGAAACUGCUUUUGAAACUGUCGCCCUUGAGUAUCGGAGAGGCAGGCGGAAUUCCUAGUGUAGCGGUGAAAUGCGUAGAUAUUAGGAGGAACACCAGUGGCGAAGGCGGCCUGCUGGACGACAACUGACGCUGAGGCGCGAAAGCGUGGGGAGCAAACAGGAUUAGAUACCCUGGUAGUCCACGCCGUA
rnacentral:rRNA from 1 species